rnacentral:rRNA from 1 species
AACGAACGCUGGCGGCAGGCCUAACACAUGCAAGUCGAGCGGAUCCUUCGGGAUUAGCGGCGGACGGGUGAGUAACGCGUGGGAAUAUGCCCUUCUCUACGGAAUAGCCUCGGGAAACUGGGAGUAAUACCGUAUACGCCCUACGGGGGAAAGAUUUAUCGGAGAAGGAUUAGCCCGCGUUGGAUUAGGUAGUUGGUGGGGUAAUGGCCUACCAAGCCUACGAUCCAUAGCUGGUUUGAGAGGAUGAUCAGCCACACUGGGACUGAGACACGGCCCAGGCUCCUACGGGAGGCAGCAGUGGGGAAUCUUAGACAAUGGGGGAAACCCUGAUCUAGCCAUGCCGCGUGAGUGAUGAAGGCCUUAGGGUUGUAAAGCUCUUUCAACUGGGAAGAUAAUGACGGUACCAGCAGAAGAAGCCCCGGCUAACUCCGUGCCAGCCGCCGCCGUAAGAC